rnacentral:rRNA from 1 species
GAUGAACGCUAGCUACAGGCUUAACACAUGCAAGUCGAGGGGAAACGAUAUUGGAAGCUUGCUUCUGAUAGGCGUCGACCGGCGCACGGGUGAGUAACGCGUAUCCAACCUGCCCAUCACUUGGGGAUAACCUUGCGAAAGUAAGACUAAUACCCAAUGACGUCUCUAGAAGACAUCUGAAAGAGAUUAAAGAUUUAUCGGUGAUGGAUGGGGAUGCGUCUGAUUAGCUUGUUGGCGGGGUAACGGCCCACCAAACCUACGAUCAGUAGGGGUUCUGAGAGGAAGGUCCCCCACAUUGGAACUGAGACACGGUCCAAACUCCUACGGGAGGCAGCAGUGAGGAAUAUUGGUCAAUGGACGAGAGUCUGAACCAGCCAAGUAGCGUGCAGGAUGACGGCCCUAUGGGUUGUAAACUGCUUUUAUAAGGGAAUAAAGUGGGAGUCGUGACUCUUUUUGCAUGUACCUUAUGAAUAAGGACCGGCUAAUUCCGUGCCAGCAGCCG